GUCGCUGACACAAACAGUACAACAAAAGUACAAAUAAUAAAAAAUGACGAAAAAACCUUAACUCGUCCGAUGACAGAGCCUGUAUAGUAAAUGCGCGAUGUGUGCCAAAACUUGUAUGAUAGUUAAAAUUAUCCCUUAAAUACAAUAAAUGUACAUGACUUUGUAUUCGCAGUUUACUAUGAAGUCCACUAUCACUGAACUAGUAUACAUAUUUAUUAAGGGGCCAGCUAAAGGACGCCACCGGAUGCGGGAGUUUCUCGCUUCAUUGAAGACCCAUUGUGGCCUUCGGCUGUUUUCUGCUCUAUGGUCGGGUUGUUGUCGCUUGGAAUUUGUAUGAACUUUUAAUGUUGAUAGACAUUUUUAAAUAAUCUGUUUUUUUUUUUUUUAUUAAGAUAAGCUGUCCUGAAGUUACGGUGCGACAUGUUUAUGCUGGACAGACGGAUAGAUAGACGGACAGACGGACGGAAGGAAGGACAGACGGAAGGAAGGACGGACGGACGGACGGACGGACAGACGGGUGUAUACAAUAA
rnacentral:lncRNA from 1 species